rnacentral:tRNA from 1 species
GGGCCCGUAGCCUAGCACGGAUCAGGGCGUCAGCCUCCGAAGCUGAAGAGCUGCCUUCAGAAACCAUGGGUUCGAAUCCCAUCGGGCCCG